ensembl:lncRNA
GCUUCCUAGUCCUCGCCAACCGGGUGGUUUUCCGGCUCGUUGUGGGACGACCCGAUAUUAACAGGAUGUCCAAAGUGUUGAAUAAGCUCAAUGGUUAAAAGGGGAGGACUCCAGUUCAAUAUGGGACCAAUCGGGAGGUUGUAGACAAAGUGUGGAAAUCGGUAAAGGAUUUCACGUCAGGCAUUCAGAAAAUAGAUGUCAGGACAGUGAUCAACAGUCCCCAGCAUGCAAAGUCUGGCCAAUCGCCACCGGACCCCUCAGCGCCAGGCCCCUCAGCGCCUGGCCCCUCAGCGCCUGGCCCCUCAGCGCCUGGCCCCUCAGCGCCUGGCCCCUCAGGUCCUGGCCCCUCAGCUCCUGGCCCCUCAGGUCCUGGCCCCUCAGCGCCUGGCCCCUCAGGUCCUGGCCCCUCAGCGUCUGGCCCCUCAGGUCCUGGCCCCUCAGGUCCUGGCCCCUCAGGUUCUGGCCCCUCAGGUCCUGGCACCUUAGCAGCUGGCCCC